CAGGCUGUGAUGAUUGGCGCAGGGGUACGGACCUCAGCUGAGUCAUGGGAGCUGAAUGUAUGUGUUUCUCUUGUCCUGCGUGUGGCAGGCUAAUGGGGAGCACUUACAUGAGACUGUUGCCUCAAUCUGAGCCUG
rnacentral:snoRNA from 1 species